rnacentral:rRNA from 1 species
UUUUCUUUAGAAAGGAUUAAAGAUAAAGCCUGCUCAAUGUUUAAAAUAAAUAGCCGCGGUAAUAUAACUGCGCGAAGGUAGCAUAAUUAAUUGUCUUUUAAAUGGUGACUUGUUUGAACGGCUUAAUGAGGGUUCUUCUUUCUUUAACUUUUUUCGAACUUAUUUUCUGGGGUUAAAAAACCUAGAUUUUUUAGAAAGAAGAGAAGACCCUGAUGAAUUUUACAGUUAAGCUGUUUGGAUGGGGCAUUCCAAUUUCUAUUAAAAUUGUGAUUGAUCCUACUUUGAGGAUAAAGGUUUAAAUUACCACAGGGAUAACAGGACAAAAUUUGUUAAGAGCACUUAUCAAAACAAAAAAUUGUUACCUCGAUGUUGAAUCAAAAUUUACUUUUUGGCGCAAAAGUUUUUAAAGUGGGUCUGUUCGACCUUUGAAUUUUUACG